rnacentral:rRNA from 1 species
GUGCCAGCAGCCGCGGUAAUACGUAGGGUGCGAGCGUUAAUCGGAAUUACUGGGCGUAAAGCGUGCGCAGGCGGUUUUGUAAGACAGAUGUGAAAUCCCCGGGCUUAACCUGGGAACUGCGUUUGUGACUGCAAGGCUGGAGUACGGCAGAGGGGGGUGGAAUUCCACGUGUAGCAGUGAAAUGCGUAGAGAUGUGGAGGAACACCGAUGGCGAAGGCAGCCCCCUGGGCCUGUACUGACGCUCAUGCACGAAAGCGUGGGGAGCAAACAGG